rnacentral:sRNA from 1 species
CUUGGUCAUUUAGAGGAAGUAAAAGUCGUAACAAGGUUUCCGUAGGUGAACCUGCGGAAGGAUCAUUAUGAAUUAAUAAUAUUUGUGAAUUUACCACAACAAACAUCAAUCAUACAAUCAAUAAUUAAAAAAUUAAAACUUUUAACAAUGGAUCUCUUGGUUCUCGUAUCGAUGAAGAACGCAGCGAAACGCGAUAUUUCUUGUGAAUUGCAGAAGUGAAUCAUCAGUUUUUGAACGCACAUUGCACUUUGGGGUAUCCCCCAAAGUAUACUUGUUUGAGCGUUGUUUCUCUCUUGGAAUUGCUUUGCUCUUCUAAAAUUUCGAAUCAAAUUCGUUUGAAAAACAACACUAUUCAACCUCAGAUCAAGUAGGAUUACCCGCUGAACUUAAGCAUAUCAAUAAGCGGAGGAAAAGAAACCAACAGGGAUUGCCUUAGUAACGGCGAGUGAAGCGGCAAAAGCUCAAAUUUGAAAUCGGCCACCAGGUCGAGUUGUAAUUUGUAGAUUGUAUCUUGAGAGCGGAUUAAAGUCUGUUGGAACACAGCGCCUUAGAGGGUGACAGCCCCGUAAAAUCUAUUCUCAUUGUAAGAUACUUUCGAAGAGUCGAGUUGUUUGGGAAU